AGCGUAGGCGGACAUUUAAGUCAGGGGUGAAAUCCCGGGGCUCAACCUCGGAAUUGCCUUUGAUACUGGGUGUCUUGAGUAUGAGAGAGGUGUGUGGAACUCCGAGUGUAGAGGUGAAAUUCGUAGAUAUUCGGAAAGAAACACCAGCGGCGAAGGCGACACACUGGCUCAUUACUGACGCUGAGGCUCGAAAGCGGUGGGGAGCAAACA
rnacentral:rRNA from 1 species